AAUAGAUGACACCGUUGACUUUUUCUCACAUGACCAUUCGUCUUAUUCAAAAAACGUAAUUAUAAUUUAUUUUGUUAUGAGUUGUUUUAUCACUCAUAGUACUUUAAGUGUGAUUUAUAUCUUAUACAUAUACAUAAAAUUUUUAAAUAAGACGAAUGGUCAAACAUGUGAGAAAAAAUUAACGGCGUCAUCUAUU
rfam:Oryza sativa Japonica Group DNA, chromosome 1, cultivar: Nipponbare, complete sequence.